GUUCUCCGUCACUUUGAAAACCAUGAAGUGUGGUCAAUAAAAGAGAGAACCCAGUUGCUUCACCAAAGACCCUCUGAGCUGAGUUAUUAACUCCUAGGAUGCGCCAUAAAGCUCCAAAACUGUCACAUUUAGCAUCAAUCACCUGCUGAGCUGAGUUAUUAACUCCUAGGAUGCGCCAUAAAGCUCCGAAAGUGUCACAUUUAGCAUCAUUAUGAAGUGUGUACUGAGUUCCCAAAGCACUUGUAAUCAUCCCACUUUUUGAAAUGUCAACCAGUGCUCCUAAUUCCUCCGGAUGAGCCUGACAAACAGACAUCAUCAACUUUUUUGCAGCAAAUGUUCAAGCAAGACAUGAUAUAGGAUCAGAAAAUAUGUAGGCGAACCAAUCCAACUUAUAUGACUAACAAAGUACAUAACAGAUUUACAUGCCAGUAUGAAUAUAGUCCAAUACUACAGCACAAGGGAGGAACUUAUAACUA
rnacentral:lncRNA from 1 species